rnacentral:rRNA from 1 species
GAUGAACGCUGGCGGCGUGCCUAAUACAUGCAAGUCGAGCGAACGGACGAGAAGCUUGCUUCUCUGACGUUAGCGGCGCACGGGUGAGUAACACGUGGAUAACCUACCUAUAAGACUGGGAUAACUUCGGGACACCGUAGCUAAUACCGGAUAAUAUCUUGAACCGCAUGGUUCAAUAGUGAAAGACGGUCUUGCUGUCACUUAUAGAUGGAUCCGCGCUGCAUUAGCUAGUUGGUAAGGUAACGGCUUACCAAGGCAACGAUGCAUAGCCGACCGGAGAGGGGGAUCGGCCACCCGGGAACUGAGACACGGUCCAGAGGCCUACGGGAGGCAGCAGUAGGGAAUCUUCCGCAGUGGGCGAAAGCCUGACGGAGCAACGCCGCGUGAGUGAUGAAGGUCUUCGGAUCGUAAAACUGUGUUAUUGGGGAAGAACAGAUGUGUAAGGAACUGUGCACAUCUUGACGGUACCUAAUCAGAAAGCAACGGCUAACUACGUG